AGAAGACAGAGACACCAAACGGAGACCAACUGAGACCAGAGGCAGAGACCGGAGUGAGGAGACUGCACGCCAGGGAAUGAACGCCAAGGAUCACCAGCAGCCACCGGAAGCUGGAAGGCACAGAGAGGGACUCCCCUACCUGUUUCAGAGGGAACACGGCCCUGCUCACACCCGUUGUAGACCUCUGGCCUCCGGAACUGGGGGAGGAGACAUCGUUUGAAGCCUCCUGGUUUGUGCGCUUUGUCGCGGCAGCUCUGGAAACUGACACACACCCACGGCCACAGCAAAGGCCCUUCACCCACUGAGCUUGUGUCCAGCACCUUUCAUGUUCCACUUUGAAACAGCACCUGAGCAGGACGAACGCUGUAGGUGCGGGUGAGCCAGGACCCUCAGGAAGCAGCUGUCCACAGAGGAGACACCUACAAACAAGAGAGCACAGACUUACACGGAUGCCCGUGUCGAACUGAUUCCGCGAGGUGAAGUGUUCGUGGAGUGUGGACUGGACACGGUUGGGGGGGGGUGAGUGGUCAGCUGGGAACACCGUGGAUGGUCUACAUCAUCUGCUGCCCGUUAAACUGCCAAAGUUUAUUGACCACACCUCUUACCAGACAGCUUCUCUGCUAUUGGCUUGAACGAAUCAGGAAAGGAAAAUUUAUAAACCAAGUAAGGACAUACUAUGAAUCUGCUCCUUUCAAGCACACAACACAUUUAUCAGUUUCUAUGUGCCAUCGGAUUGGAGGCAUCACGAAACAAGAUUCACACGAAUCCUGAAGGACACCUAAGGCUUUGAUCUGAAAGUCUAGAAAAGUCUGGAGUGACGCUCCUGGUUACGUCCUGGUUCCACCUGCACUGAGAGCUCUCUCCGGCUCCUGGAACUCCUUGUGGCAUUCGUCUCUGCCCAUAAGUCUUCUACAAGGAAGCGAGCUCGUCAGCUCAAAAUUUGACCUUCGAUUUCACGUAUUUUGUUCAGGAAAGCACGUUACCCGGCACCCAGAGCAGCACAACAGAAAACCCCCUGAGGCCGUGCUUCCCUUCCUGACUAUCAGCUCGGAGAACCUCCCAGUCUUGAUGGAAAUUUCCAUUCAUGGGCAUUUUUCUCACAUGCUUCAUUGAGUCUUGAAAACAACUGGAUUUCUAUUGGGUAUGUGUUAGGAACGCCAAAGAAAUUAAUGAUGAACCAUGCAAUGAACCUCAGUUAUUCUGAUGGGGGAAAAGACAAGCUUCUAAGGCUGGCGGCACUUGUGAGACAACAGUGCCCAUUUUCUGGGCUAUCCUCCAUCCAGAUGAUGGUCCUCUGGUGAUGCAGGUGACCAGCGUCCGGGUGACGCGGCAGUCCUGCGUUGUGUUUUCGUGUACCGAUUCAUACGAUCCCACCAGCCUCCUCCAGAGCCUAUGGGACAGGAACCCUUAUUUUUCUCAUAUUAUCCAUGAGGAAACUAAAGCAAUGGGAAGGCUGGCUUCUAAUACCUAAGUAGUUGAUGUACCAGCAGGAUUCUGCAUCCUGGGUGCUAUCUGGAGAUCUCUUGGGGACACGUGAUACGUGGAUCGCCUGGGACCCGUGUGACCGUGGGCAGUGCACCCUCAGGAAGGGUCCUGGGGAAGUGGCCUUCUUGAAGUCAGUAGCUCAGCCAUGUCACAAUGAUGCGCCUUGUCUCACCCCAAGCCCUGAAGUUCAAGUACAGAUCUCACGUUCCCCUCCAUUUCAGUCAUUAGCAACAAGCGGAUGUAAACGUAGGCACCAGGCAUACCUGUGCUGGGGAGCCACAGGUUAAUCAUUAGGGGCCAUUGGCUCCUUGUGCAGACUGACCUCAAGGGACAAGGAGGAGGGGUUUCCACGAUGGCUGUCGUGUGGCCUUUUCCACGCACCACAUCCUCGAGCCCACCAGGAGGUUUUGUGAACUACCUCAUCAAUGCAAUAAAAACAACAAUACAAAUGGCCCUGUGAUGGAAUAUGUUCUUUAUUUAAAAGCCAAAGGCGAGCAAACAGAGCCAGGAGGAGCAGUCGACAUUUCAUAGGAUGUUUGCCGUAGACGCCUUUCUCCUACUGAUGUAUUCCAGAAGACGAAUGUACUAGUCUAAAUUAGUUUUUUUUUUUUUCCUUCUUUCCCUGCUGGUAAUUAGCACUAGAGGGGAUGGGUCUGAGUUAACUAUUAAUAGUUUAGAAGUAAACCUGAAUUUUAGCAACAACACAUUACCAGACAGUAAAAACCUGAUUCUUCUGCUUCUGUUAAGAGCUUAUCAAUGAAUGGGAGCUUCCAACUGUGUCUGACUAUCGAACAAUCAUGUUCCCAGCUGAUGUUCGCUUAUGCUGCACACUGCUGUAUACCUGCACUGUUGUCUAACAGUGUUAAUCUCUCCUAGCUGUGAGGGGUGCACAGAGAGCUGCCACAACGUCCCCGAGCCAUCGGGCGACGCCUCCGCUCACACACCAGCCUUCGGGACUCCCCACGUCUCGCUGGAGCACCUCUGCCUGGACGUGGGGACCUAACCCAAAGCAAGGGCAGAUUACGCAGCACGGAGAACCCCUGCCUCCGGCUACGUUAACCAAGUCGACCAGGACGUCUGUUACUCUCCUGCGUGUGCUUGGAGGUAAACAAGAAACAGAGUGAGGGCAGGUGGGCACGUCCGGCACCUACACGGGGCCGGGCACGCGGGGGCUCAUAGCAGCCCUCCUCCCUCUUCUCCAAGCGUUUACAUCUAACUAUAUUUAACCCUCACCAAAAUACGAUGUGGCAGUAACGGACCCACCUCCCAGAUGCGAAACUUAAGCUCAGAGAGGUUGGGGACUUCGUAAGGUCACAUGACCGGUAACCGGCAGACUCAGGCGUCUGUCCAGGCGGAUGGGCCCAAAGGUCGGCCGUUUUGUCACUGGACCACGUGCCGCGCGCGAUGGCCGUCCUCUGCCCUGUGCCCUUUGUCUUCCUCCUCCCGGUUAAUCCUCCUUAGAAGAACACAGAAAUAUGUAAACUCGAGGAACAGGAAAUAAAAUUUCGAGCUUAGUGACGGCAAGCUGGAAUGUGCAGAGAGCCCGUGGCCGGGACGGGAAACGUCGGUAGAUGUGCCGCAGCAUUCAUCCAGAGCGUCCUUCCCCACGGGAGACGACAACGUGAGCCAUCCCACCCGGCACCUCCACCCACCCGUGCCCUGCUCUCUCUCCCAGCCGCUGCCCUGCGCCCGAUCCUGCCGCUUAUCACCAAAUACCCAGUGUUGUAUCUCACCAGUAAAACGGAGCAAAAAGUACUUGCCCGGAAAUCCUAGGAGGGUCGUUUGAAGAGCGAGCGACAAGAGCUGUGGAAGAGAAGACGAACACGCAAGCCGAGUGUGGCAUCGCUGCUGUCCUGCUCGAGUCCGACUGCUCAUCUGGCACCUGCAGGUGCACAGGGCGGGGCCCCCAGGCUGCCCGACGGCAGGAGCCAGCCGGCUACCGCGGACACCUCGGCCCUCAGGUAGCCGCAGACCAAAGCCCACACGGGACACUGAAUUUUUAGUUAAAUCGAGCCUUCCUCCGAAUUAAAUACCCUCCCAAGAUAUGACAGUAUC